rnacentral:rRNA from 1 species
GUCUAUAGCCAUGCCACCCUGAACACGCCUGAACUUGUCUGACCUUGGAAGCUAAGCAGGGUCGGGCCUGGUGAGUACGUGGAUGGGAGAAUGGAGAAAUCGCUGGGCUUUGCUAAUGCAGGUUGUAAAGUCA